AGAAUCAACGCUGGCGGCGUGCCUAACACAUGCAAGUCGAACGAGAAAGUGGAGCAAUCCACGAGUAAAGUGGCGCACGGGUGAGUAACACGUGACUAACCUACCCUUGAGUGGGGAAUAACUGAGGGAAACCUUAGCUAAUACCGCAUAACACCUACGGGUCAAAGGAGCAAUUCGCUUAAGGAGGGGGUCGCGGCAGAUUAGUUAGUUGGCGGGGUAAUGGCCCACCAAGACAGUGAUCUGUAUCCGGCCUGAGAGGGCGCACGGACACACUGGAACUGAAACACGGUCCAGACUCCUACGGGAGGCAGCAGUGGGGAAUUUUGCGCAAUGGGGGAAACCCUGACGCAGCAACGCCGCGUGGAGGAUGAAGACCCUUGGGUCGUAAACUCCUUUCGAUCGGGACGAUUAUGACGGUACCGGAAGAAGAAGCCCGGCUAACUCGUGCCAGCAGCCGC
rnacentral:rRNA from 1 species